rnacentral:rRNA from 1 species
UAGUCCGCACGAGCGCACCCUUGUCCUUAGUUGCCAGCGGGUAGAUGCCGGGGACUCUAGGGAGACUGCCGGUGACAAACCGGAGGAAGGUGGGGAUGACGUCAAGUCAUCAUGGCCCUUAUGGCCGGGGCUACACACGUGCUACAAUGGCCGGUACAAAGGGUUGCAAACCCGCAAGGGGGAGCCAAUCCCAAAAAACCGGUCUUAGUCCGGAUUGAAGUCUGCAACUCGACUCCUUGAAGUAGGAAUCGCUAGUAAUCGCGAAUCACCAUGCCGCGGUGAAUACGUUCCCGGGCCUU